GACGAACGCUGGCGGCGUGCUUAACACAUGCAAGUCGAACGGAAAGGCCCUGCUUUUGUGGGGUGCUCGAGUGGCGAACGGGUGAGUAACACGUGAGUAACCUGCCCUUGACUUUGGGAUAACUUCAGGAAACUGGGGCUAAUACCGGAUAGGAGCUCCUGCUGCAUGGUGGGGGUUGGAAAGUUUCGGCGGUUGGGGAUGGACUCGCGGCUUAUCAGCUUGUUGGUGGGGUAGUGGCUUACCAAGGCUUUGACGGGUAGCCGGCCUGAGAGGGUGACCGGCCACAUUGGGACUGAGAUACGGCCCAGACUCCUACGGGAGGCCGCCGUGGGGCCUCUUGCACCCUGGGCGGAAGCCUGAUGCAGCAACGCCGCGUGCGGGAUGACGGCCUUCGGGUUGUAAACCGCUUUCGCCUGUGACGAAGCGUGAGUGACGGUAAUGGGUAAAGAAGCACCGGCUCACUACGUG
rnacentral:rRNA from 1 species